rnacentral:snRNA from 1 species
UGGUUUCUCUUCAGAUUGUAUAAAUCUUUUGCCUUUUACUAAAGAUUUCUGUGGAGAGGAACAAUUUA